rnacentral:rRNA from 1 species
AAUGGGCGCAAGCCUGACCCAGCAACGCCGCGUGAAGGAAGAAGGCUUUCGGGUUGUAAACUUCUUUUGUCGGGGACGAAACAAAUGACGGUACCCGACGAAUAAGCCACGGCUAACUACGUGCCAGCAGCCGCGGUAAUACGUAGGUGGCAAGCGUUAUCCGGAUUUACUGGGUGUAAAGGGCGUGUAGGCGGGAUUGCAAGUCAGAUGUGAAAACUGGGGGCUCAACCUCCAGCCUGCAUUUGAAACUGUAGUUCUUGAGUGCUGGAGAGGCAAUCGGAAUUCCGUGUGUAGCGGUGAAAUGCGUAGAUAUACGGAGGAACACCAGUGGCGAAGGCGGAUUGCUGGACAGUAACUGACGCUGAGGCGCGAAAGCGUGGGGAGCAAA